ensembl:lncRNA
CCACCGUUUCUCGCAUUCAACUCUCUGUUGAUUUCUCCGAACCUGGACACUACAUCCUAUAUGCUUACCACAUCAUAUUCUCCACAAGUGCGGUUCUGCUCUCAGGAUCUGUAGUCAUCGGGAUCCUAAAAACGAAGCAUCUACGAAUUCAGAACAGAUUCAUGUUUAUGCUGAGCACAAGCAUGAGUGACGUUAUUACAGGCCUGUCCGCUUAUUACUCGGGUCUUUUUGACGUUCAAGAGGGAUUCCCAUCCAGAAACGGAACUUACAAUAUUUUACCGUCUUUCCUCGGUGUAAAUCUUUUAGUCUUCAUGUUUGCCCAGUUUGAUAGAUACUGCGCCGUGUGUUAUCCUUUCAUCUACGAGCGCUUCGUCUCACGCACUGUAGUCAUUUGUGUCUGUUCGUACUGCUGGUUCCACGCUUGCGUUCUGUUCCAGCUUAUUUUGAAUUUGAUCCCAGUUAUACUAAGUAACAAGCUAUUUGCGUUCAGCAUCGCCAUGUUACAAAUUGUCGUGUUGACCAAUGUGUUGAUGACGAUUAAACUGUUCUUCGUUGCCAAACAUCAAGUUGCACGAGACCCGCCAAGUGCGGAGAGAGACAGCAAGGCAGAGUCUAUAAAGAUUAUAAUAGUCGUCGUUAUUAGUUUUUUAAUCUUCUGGUACCCCGCUUUUAUAAACAUAAUUGUAAAGCAAGUUUCUAAAUACGGCAUUUAUUCUAAAAACGACGGCUCGAACCCGUUUUUAAUACUGGCUCGUUUCAAUGCACUGUCUACUUCAGGCCUAUACAUUUGGGGCAGUCCGUCUUUACGCACUGCUGUGUGGCGCAUCGGCUGGUACAAGGUUUUAGAACAGUGCAAAAGAAGAAUUAAUGUUCACAACGGAGAAAAGAAGAUAUCAGAAAUGCCUUAAGUCCAGAGACAUGAAUCUAGCAUAUGUAAGAAAACUUAUGUUAAAUAUCUGCAUCUGCUUUCAGCCUCUAUCGGGCUCCUAUGUUUAGGUUCAGUCAUUUCAAUGUACAGUAGGCCUAAAUGUCCUUUUCUGAUUAUAUAUAUUCCACUUUUAAAUAACUUAGGUGUGUGCUCUGCUAACUAUUAAAAUGAAUUGUAAAUGUAAUUUUUUUUUAACUGUUUGUAUAAUUUUCAGAAAAAAAUCAGACAGCACUUAGAGUUUUUGCAUACGUGUGUGUGUGUGUGUGUGUGUGUGUGUGUGUGUGUGUGUGUUUGUGGAUCUACAUAUAUUUUCCACUUUUAACUCACUUAGGUGCUGUGCCUGCUAACUGUUAAAAUGUACUGUACAUGUAAAACUUUUUUUGAACCAUUUGUAUAAUUUGAUAGAAUAUAUUUUCUGCUGCAUAUAUUGCUGAAUAAACAACUUAAUCACCCUCCAUUAUUUUUACCUGAAUUGACCUAAUAAUGUAGCCAGCUUAAAGUAGUUAUAUUGAAUAUGUUUGUUUUCUACAUGGUGUUUUAUAUUUGUACUUUUUUAGAGUGUUUAUGUGGGAUUAUCACCAAAGAGUGGAUACGGUAUCAACGGUCACAAUCACAUUAUAACAAUUACAACAAUCACAUUAUAUCACAAAUUUAUUAAAAAAGCAAAACAUUUUACCAAAGCUGUUUGUGUAGCAAUUUCUUUUAUCAGCCACUUGGUGGUAAUGGGUUGCAAUGAAACUGCUAA